GGCCUGGUAGUGUAACGGUAGCACGCCCGCUUUCAAUUAAAAUGCGUCGACCUUCCGAGUUAUAAAGCGGAGAUUCCCUGUUCGAUUCGGGGUCAGGCCA